AAUAGAUACCCCGGUAGUCCACGCCGUAAACGAUGGAUACUAGCUGUUUGGAGUAAUCUGAGUGGCUAAGCGAAAGUGAUAAGUAUCCCACCUGGGGAGUACGUUCGCAAGAAUGAAACUCAAAGGAAUUGACGGGGGCCCGCACAAGCGGUGGAGCAUGUGGUUUAAUUCGAUGAUACGCGAGGAACCUUACCAAGGCUUAAAUGGGAAACGACAGAUUUGGAAACAGAUUUUUCUUCGGACGUUUUUCAAGGUGCUGCAUGGUUGUCGUCAGCUCGUGCCGUGAGGUGUCAGGUUAAGUCCUAUAACGAGCGCAACCCCUGUUGUUAGUUGCCAGCGAGUCAUGUCGGGAACUCUAGCAAGACUGCCAGUGUAAACUGUGAGGAAGGUGGGGAUGACGUCAAAUCAUCACGGCCCUUACGCCUUGGGCUACACACGUGCUACAAUGGACGGUACAGAGAGCAGCCACUGGGUGACCAGGAGCGAAUCUAUAAAACCGCUCUCAGUUCGGAUCGGAGUCUGCAACUCGACUCCGU
rnacentral:rRNA from 1 species